rnacentral:rRNA from 1 species
CAAGCGUGUGCUAAGUGGGAAAGGAUGUGGAGUCGCAUAGACAGCCAGGAGGUUGGCUCAGAAGCAGCCACCCUUGAAAGAGUGCGUAACAGCUCACUGGUCUAGUGGUUCCGCGCCGACAAUGUAGCGGGGCUCAAGCACACCACCGAAGACGCGGCAGUAGCUUUGCUACUGGGUAGGAGAGCGUCCCAUGCGGGGCGAAGCGGCGGCGCAAGCCCGCCGUGGACUGCAUGGGAGUGAGAAUGCAGACAUGAGUAGCGAAAGACGGGUGAAGAUCCCGUCCGCUGGACGACCAAGGGUUCCAGGGCCACGUUCAUCGUCCCUGGGUGAGUCGGGUCCUAAGGCGAGGCCGACAGGCGUAGUCGAAUGGAUGAACGGGUCGAUAUUCCCGUACCGGCAUGCAACCGACAAAACCGAAUCCGCGAGUACUAACCUCCGGGUCCGGGCUUACGUCUCCUUCGGGAGCCGGAUGCCCUGGCCUGUUGGGACCGUAACGGUAGUAGGUCAGCGCGGGAGUGACGCAGAAGGGUAGCCGGCCGCGGAGGUGGUCUUCCGUGGUCAAGCACGCAGCCCGUCCCACAGGCAAAUCCGUGGGGCGCGUGGGCGAGGUGCGAUGAUGGGCGCCGCAGGGCGCGAUAUCCGGUGAUCCCGGCUGCCGAGAAAAGCUUCGGCGUGAGGCGGCGUGCCGCCCGUACCCCAAACCGACACUGGUGGUCAGGUAGAGAAUACCAAAGCGAUCGAGCGAAUCCUGGUCAAGGAACUCGGCAAAUCACUCCCGUUCCUUCGGUUUAAGGGAGACCCCCGAUGGUGAAGCGGCUUGCCCGUGGAGCUUUUGGGGGUGGCACAGACCAGGGGGUAGCGACUGUUUACCAAAAACACAGGAGCGUGCGAAGGCGCAAGCCGCUGUAUACGCUCUGACGCCUGCCCGGUGCCGGAAGGUUAAGAGGAUCCGUCAGGCUUCGGCCGAAGCGGUGAAUUCAAGCCCCGGUAAACGGCGGUGGUAACUAUAACCAUCCUAAGGUAGCGAAAUUCCUUGUCGGGUAAGUUCCGACCUGCACGAAUGGCGUAACGACUUCCCCACUGUCUCGACCAGGAGCUCGGCGAAAUUGCAGUACGAGUAAAGAUGCUCGUUAAGCGCAGAAGGACGAAAAGACCCCGGGACCUUUACUAUACCUUGGUAUUGGCAUUCGGUGUGGAUUGUGUAGCAUAGGCGGAAGGCUUCGAAGCCACGGCGCCAGCCGCGGUGGAGCCGCAAGGUGAAAUACCGCUCUGUUCGCAUUGGAUGUCUAACCUCGACCAGUCAUCCUGGUCAGGGACAGUGCCUGGCGGGUAGUUUAACUGGGGCGGUUGCCUCCCAAAGAGUAACGGAGGCGCUCAAAGGUUCCCUCAGCCCGGUUGGCAAUCGGGUGGCGAGUGUAAGUGCAC